rnacentral:lncRNA from 1 species
UACUCUAGCCCCAGAUCCAGCACUGGGACUGCUCAGCUCUAAACAUGGCCCCCCGGGUGGCCCUGGAACUCAGUUCCAGAGCUUAGGACCAAAGCUCUUCCACCAUACUCUUCUUCAGCUUUGGAUGGAAGCCCAGAGCUGGGAGCCAUGGGUACCACUACAGUAAAUCUAGGAAGAGCUCUCACAGAGAAGAGGGGAUCUCUCUGGGACAUCUGGGACAUGCAGCAGACAGAGAGCGCUCCCCCUGCUCACAUCUUCUGAGCUUCAGCUUUGUCUUCCCCUCCACCCGACCCCCAGACUGACCCUGGGCUGCUCCAUCCUUGUAAGGCCUGAAGAACAGAUCUCAUGUGGUGAGCACCCGAAUGAGGUAGAUAGAGGUGAUGUCAGACCAGGCACAUGAUGCCUAAAGCCCACACCGGAGCCCUAAGGUGGGGCAGCCAGCAGUGGCCAGUCUUUCAGGGGCGGUGGAGCCGCUCAUACUUCCCUUCAGAGCAGGUAUGGGGACUGUUUUCUGGAACCCAAGCUCUAACCAUCUUGGCUUUUCUGCCCACCCCUCAGGCUUUGGACUGAGCGCUCUGGACCCAUUAAUGCAAGGUCUGACUCUUCCAGACUGAGAGACUGCUGAAGGAAGAAGCAGUGACCCACGGCUGAGUACAGUGGCCAGGGUUCCAGGGUACACAUCUGUCAAUUCACCCCUCUGGAGGCAUGGGCUGCUGGAAGUGAGUUCCGUGAGAAACUGUUUGGUAUAAUCCGUGAAUACUGAGAGAACUGUAGGCUGUCUGUGGGGAAGAGGGAGCAGGUGUUGCCCUCUCGCCUGUGAAUCACUAGGGAGGUGAAAGAGUUCAUACAGCCAACCAGGAAGCAGUCACUCUGACAAGCCAAGCGAAGAGAUGUUUGGCCACCUGCAUCUGACUUCUAGAUCGGCUUCUGUUCUUGGGACCAGCAAUGCUUGAAUGAAAAGCUCUGCUGAUUGCCUGCUGCAGAGAAGCCUGGACCCACAGGGCACCGGGCAUGAAGGAAAGCAAGCGGUUCCGUGUUGAAGGCAAGGGUCUCUGUCCUGCAGCAGGUAUGCAGAAAGUCGCCUCCGUGGUGGAAGGGUCUGAGUGGUAUAGACCCCAUAGCACAGCCUCCUUCGCCUCACACUCUCCGUGAUCUCCCCAGUCUCCUCUGAACAGCCAUAAAGCUAGUCAUUAAAAUGUGCCUCAAGGUCGGCAAUCAAUCUCAAGGGGGUUUUAGUUUAUUGUCUGGAGGAGGAAGCCUUCCACUGCCUCUCUUGUCACUGAAGAGGCAUCACAUAAAGGACCCUUUAAUCUCACCCAGACAUCUCAUGGGGCACCAUGGCGAGUAAGUCCCCUCCCUGGCAAACACACGGGCUCGUUAACAGGGACCUUUACCACCAGUGACACAAUGGAACUUUCUUUAUAAGGGUUGAAAGGGCACAGGAGUUGCAAAAUGUCUUAAGGGCCAUGAAUUGUAGACUCCUUCCUGCCCCUCUGCCUGGGGUCAAAUGUGGGGACACUCAUGCAUCGGUGCUAUGCCUCCUAUCCACUGUGCACCUUGCUCAUAGGUAUGUGGCCCUGUCAGAUUUCUCUGUCCAGGACCAUGUCUCUGUCUUGCCUGAUAUCCCCACUGGUGUGUCUCUCACAGUGCGGUGUAGUAUGAGGACACUCAGUGUGAAGAAUGUAAGCCACAGGGAGCCAGCUAAGGAACAUAGAAUCCUUGAGUUCACUCUGACUCAACACUGGGGUUUUGGGCCUUGUAGGAUACUUAGCAGUAUCCCUGAUCUCCACCAGUGUGAUACCAACAGCAGCCUGCCAACCUGCUGGACAACCAAAACUGUCCCCAUACAUUGCUCUGGGACAAAUUACCUGGCUGUGCCAACAGUGUGCAUGGCAGAAGUCUGUGUACAGAGAGCAUCAGAGAGCAGACACUGAUGUUUGGGAUGCCCACGGGACCUUGUCUGGAGAUGGAGGUGGGGAUGUGUGUGGUACCUUUCCCACACUCUCCACGGAAGCUCUUUGUCAUUCCUCUUUAGAAGGUGUCAGGAAAAGGGGGGCUGCUGUGGUCAGAACCCUUGCUAUUUUAUUAUUAGCUAUUACGAAGCACCGAAAGCCCCGAACUUGGCUGAAGUGCCCUCUUGAGACAAGUUAUGGGAUGUGGGAUGACUGUCUGUUUUCAGCGUCCAGCACGCAGGGAUUGGGGCAAGCCCAUCAGCCUAAGAUGGCGAAAACUAUGGUGCCAGCACCCAUUACAUCAAUUUGUGAGAAAACUACGCAAUAA